CACAAGCAUAUAUAACUUCUAACACUAGCAUACUGGGACAUGUUUAACAACUGGCUCUCUGGAAAACAAAAUAUUCUAAUUGGUAGUGUGUGCCAAUUUCUGUGGUGUAAAUACUCCCAUUGUGGCUGACUUUGGGUUACCAUUAUGAUGUCACCGAGUAGGGAGUUGGGAAAAAAUGAGAUGUGCACAUUGAUACUUGCACAGAGAGACAAGGAUGUCUGUCUUUGGCAGGUGGAGACGUCUUCAAAAGAAGUAGCAGGGAGAGUAAUUGAAGGAAAGAAGAAUCUCAAAGGAAGAACAUCUUAGAGGAUGGAGUCAAGAAUUUUGGAAAACUGGGCAAGAGAACCCUUCCAAGACAUAAGAACUGCAAUUUAAUAUGGGAACAUUCUCUGUGCCUAAGGAUCUCCGAAAUGAAGUCCUGAAUGAUGGAAGAGGAUAAGAGAAGAGCACAACAUCUUUUAGUAAAGUAUGUCUGUUGGAGGGAAGAUAGCAAGCACCUUCCUGGACUCUGGCUUGCGGUGCAAGGGCAGAUUAGAGGGCGACCCACUCCUGACACUGCGAUCCUCAAUCUCAUCACCAGCUGGACAUCCCAAAAGGAUCCCGGGAUGAAGACCAAGAGGAUUGGGUCUCUUUCUAUACCAUGAAAAUUGUUUGUCUGCAGGCAACUUUGAGAUAUAAUCAUGGGAAUUUGGGGGAUAUUUCUACCAUAAGCUUUCUUCUGCUGAAUACCUCUGUACCUAGGACACUUAAUAAAACACAAAUUUUCUAGAAAUGCUGUGACCUCCUUGGCUACAUCUGAAGCCAAAUAAACACAAAAUAUGUUUGAG